rnacentral:rRNA from 1 species
CGGUACGUACUGGCAUUGUUGGUUUCUCCCUUCUGACGAACCAUGAUGUCAUUUAUUUGGUGUUGUGGGGAAUCAGGACUGUUACUUUGAAAAAAUUAGAGUGUUUAAAGCAGGCUCACGCUUGAAUACAUUAGCAUGGAAUAAUGAAAUAGGACGUUUGAUUCUAUUUUGUUGGUUUCUAGGAUCGGCGUAAUGAUUAAUAGGGAUAGUUGGGGGCAUUAGUAUUCAAUUGUCAGAGGUGAAAUUCUUGGAUUUAUUGAAGACUAACUACUGCGAAAGCAUUUGCCAAGGAUGUUUUCAUUAAUCAAGAACGAAAGUUAGGGGAUCGAAGACGAUCAGAUACCGUCGUAGUCUUAACCAUAAACUAUGCCGACUAGGGAUCGGAUGAUGUUAAUUUUUUAAUGACUCAUUCGGCGCCUUACG